UACGAAGGGGCUAGCGUUGUUCGGAAUUACUGGGCGUAAAGCGCACGUAGGCGGAUAUUUAAGUCAGGGUGAAAUCCCAGAGCUCAACUCUGGAACUGCCUUUGAUACUGGGUAUCUUGAGUAUGGAAGAGGUAAGUGGAAUUGCGAGUGUAGAGGUGAAAUUCGUAGAUAUUCGCAGGAACACCAGUGGCGAAGGCGGCUUACUGG
rnacentral:rRNA from 1 species